GCAAACUGUGCAGGAGCCGGGGAUGAACCCGCAGGUUCCCGGGAGGAAUCCCCAGGGCCCAGCAGGAGGCAUUAACAGCACGUCUCUCCAGCGAGCCGUGAUGGGAAGAGAACGGAGCAAAAAAAAGGUAAAGUGCUUAAAAACAACUUGUAUUUUUAGAGCCCAGUCUCCCCCAGAAAUCUUCGCAGAUGUUGAGCUCUCCACUUCUGAUUUGCAAGGAAUAAUAGUUUGGAAGCCCAGCUGAGACUCCUGGGCUGUAAAUUUUCUGUAAUGCUUUUCUCCAGACCCAUUUGCUGUCCUGCUAAUUAAUCCAGGUAAUGGCUGGGUUGUUUUUUUUCCCUUCAGCAGCAGUUUUCCUUUUUGUUAACACGAACAGAGAGAACUGGAGAACCGAUCUCUCGAAGGAUCCUGGCUGGCAGCAAUAUCAGCAUCUGACUGAAGAGAACUCAGCCACACGCAUAAUCCUCGGGAAAAUUCAUCUCCACCCUCCGCAGACCCCGAGUCCUUUUCUCCAGCAAAUAUUGCAUUUGCUUAUUGUAGUCAGACUGAAAUACAACUGGGAGACAGACAGGUUGACAGAUCACUUCCUGGAGAAGUUUAUCACAGGGUAAGGCAAGAGGAGCCCUGCUGAGCCCUGAUGUCCCUGUAGAGUCUCUGGAGUGAGCAAAUGGAGCAGACACUCCCGGGAACAGCACAGAUUGGAGAGGUGAUUGCAGGGAGAUUUGCUGUGGUCUCAGGAGGAGUGCUGCAAAGGGCAGCAUCCAUCCCUGGAGGAGAGGCAGGAAGCAGGAUGGCAGAUGAGAAGAGCUGAGGAAGGCUGCUGGGAGAAGACGUGUGGGCUCCGUCCCUGAGGAGGACUGCUGCUCUCCUGGCCUGGCUCUGUGUGGAAGACUAGUGAUUUUGUUGUUGUGUUUGUAAAGGUGACAACAAAUCAUAGCCUGCCAUACAGCCCAGGCUGCCACAGCCCAGUGUGCAAGUGUUCUGGGGUGCUGGAGCUCCUGCCGUGGCUCAUUCUGCUCCUCAGUCCAAACGUCCCCAGUUCCUUCUUCCUCCAUUUAUAUCCUGAGCGUGAAGUCCCACGGUCUGGAACACCCCUGGGGUCAGUCCCAGGCGCCCCCAGCCCCUCCCCAGCGUGGAGGAGGCAGCAAAGGCCUUGGCAAGAACAGAAACAUCUGAGUUACCAGCCCUGUGCUCAGCACGAACCCAAACACAGCCCCAGAGCAGCCACUGAGACGAGGAGGGAAUUCACUCUGCCCAGCUGAGAGCAGCACAGGAGCCAAGGAGCCCUCCCCAGACAGGGCCCUCAGGCACUGCUGGGACCUCGGUGCUGGCAGGGCUUCUUUGGAGAGUUGAGCCUUUUGCUUCCAACAGCGCCUUAAAAUAUAAAAAAAACAAAUUUUCAACACCACUCAGAGCCUCCAUUCUCACAGGUAUUUAGGUGUGAAAAUGAAACUCCUGAAUCUUGCCAAGGCCAGUGGUAAAAGCAUUGAAAUAUCUUUAGUAAUUUGGGUUGUUUGUGCCAUUGAGCACUUUUCUCUUUAGAUCCCCCCCCCCCCCCCCCCCCCCCCCCCCCCCCCCCCCCCCCCCCCCCCCCCCCCCCCCCC
ensembl:lncRNA